GGACCAAGGAGUCUAGCAUGUGCGCAAGUCAUUGGGACUUUUAAACAAAACCUAAAGGCGUAAUGAAAGUAAAUAUUUAUGUUUUAUACAUAUAAAUAAAGGGAAGAUGGGUAAUGAUUUAUAUAUUACCCCGCAUUCCCGGGGCGUCGCGUACUCAAUGCGAGUUGCGGCGCACCAAGAGCGUACACGCUGGGACCC
rnacentral:rRNA from 1 species